rfam:Hordeum vulgare subsp. vulgare, WGS project CAJW01000000 data, contig: morex_contig_47333
AUAAUACUCCCUCCAUUUCAAAAAAUUUGUCUUAGAUUUGUGUAGAUAUGAAUGUAUCUAAUCACAUUUUAGUAUUUAGAUACAUUCAUUUCUAGAUAAACCUAAGACAAGAAUUUUGGGACGUGGGGAGUAAGUA